rnacentral:rRNA from 1 species
AGCGAACGCCGGCGGCAGGCCUAACACAUGCAAGUCGAACGGACCCUUCGGGGUUAGUGGCGGACGGGUGAGUAACACGUGGGAACGUGCCUUUAGGUUCGGAAUAGCUCCUGGAAACGGGUGGUAAUGCCGAAUGUGCCCUUCGGGGGAAAGAUUUAUCGCCUUUGGAGCGGCCCGCGUCUGAUUAGCUAGUUGGUGAGGUAAUGGCUCACCAAGGCGACGAUCAGCAGCUGGUCUGAGAGGAUGACCGGCCACAAUGGGACUGAGACACGGCCCAGACUCCUACGGGAGGCAGCAGUGGGGAAUCUUGCGCAAUGGGCGAAAGCCUGACCCAGCCAUGCCGCGUGAAUGAUGAAGGUCUUAGGAUUGUAAAAUUCUUUCACCAGGGACGAUAAUGACGGUACCCGGAGAAGAAGCCCCGGCUAACUUCGUGCCAGCCGCCGCGGUAA